GGGGCCUCGGAGAAGCAACGGCCGAAGCUCACCGGGUGUGGAGGAGGUGGGGCUGCGGCAGGAGGGAGGGAACGACUGAAGGUCCUGGGAAAGGCGGUGGGACAAGCCAGACCAGCUCUGCCCUUUCCAGACAGGACGCAAUUCCUUUUUGUAGUAUAAGAACGGGCAAAACAUCAUAGCCACCAGAAACUGGCAUCUGAAAGGAAAACUGUAGUUUCUACCCUCAGAAUUCUGCGCAAUCUGUGAACUCCUUGAAAGAAAUGUCUGAACUCCAUGCCUCUGCCACAAUCUCCUGAAAUCCAUUUGAGGAGUUCCAGAAAACUCAAUAUGCUAUGUGAACUGUAUGAGAACUACUGGCUACAGCUUAAAUCAGAUGAGAAAUCUCUAAGUGAACAUUUUGGGGAAAGGAAAGGAAAGCACUUUACAGUUGAAAAUUGCAGUAGCUGAUAAACAAGGAAGAUGGAUUGAGCAGGGACAGUCCCUUCUGCUCAGCUGCAACUAUUCUGGUCAAACUAGUCUGUCAAUACCAAAAUAUAUCACCUCUGACAUUAAGAAGUAGAGAAGAGAGGAUGAGACAGAGAAAAAAGACAGCUCAAUUUGGUUCAAUUCAAUAAAUAUUUA